UACGUAGGGUGCGAGCGUUAAUCGGAAUUACUGGGCGUAAAGCGUGCGCAGGCGGUUUUGUAAGCCAGAUGUGAAAUCCCCGGGCUUAACCUGGGAAUGGCAUUUGGGACUGCAAGGCUUGAGUGCGGCAGAGGAGACUGGAAUUCCCGGUGUAGCAGUGAAAUGCGUAGAUAUCGGGAGGAAUACCGAUGGCGAAGGCAGGUCUCUGGGCUGACACUGACGCUCAGGAGCGAAAGCGUGGGGAGCGAUCCGG
rnacentral:rRNA from 1 species